rnacentral:lncRNA from 1 species
UAGCUUUUCUGCCUGUCUUGUGCUACCUUCAUAUUCUUUUCUUAAUUAAUCUGACUUGAUCAACCAUAAUCCGUACUAUCUCUGGGCCCAAAAGUUUUCUUUCCCCUUCUUCAUCCUAACACACUGGAGUUCUACAUUUUCUACCAUAUAGAGCCUCAUAUGGUGCCAUACCGAUUCUGGAAUAAUAACUAUUGUUGUAGGC